GGGAGGUAGUGACAAUAAAUAACAAUACGGGGCUCAUUUGGGUCUCGUAAUUGGAAUGAGUACAAUUUAAAUCCCUUAACGAGGAACAAUUGGAGGGCAAGUCUGGUGCCAGCAGCCGCGGUAAUUCCAGCUCCAAUAGCGUAUAUUAAAGUUGUUGCAGUUAAAAAGCUCGUAGUUGGACUUCGGGGUUUACCCAUUGGUCAGGUUUAAUUAUCUGUACUGGUGAGAUAAAUCUCUACCUUCUGAGGAACUUUCAUGCCAUUUAUUUGGUGUGGGAGGAAAUCAGGACUGUUACUCUGAAAAAAAUUAGAGUGUUUAAAGCAGGCUAACGUCUGAAUACAUUAGCAUGGAAUAAUGAAAUAGGACGGACUGAUUCUAUUUCGUUGGUUUCUAGGAUCACCGUAAUGAUUAAUAGGGAUAGUUGGG
rnacentral:rRNA from 1 species